rnacentral:rRNA from 1 species
GACCUACGGGACGCCGCAGUGGGGCCUCUUGCACCCUUUUUUCCCCCCUGCUGCAGCGACGCCGCGUGAGUGAAGAAGUAUUUCGGUAUGUAAAGCUCUAUCAGCAGGGAAGAAGAAGGACGGUACCUGAGUAAGAAGCCCCGGCUAACUACGUGCCAGCAGCCGCGGUAAUACGUAGGGGGCAAGCGUUAUCCGGAUUUACUGGGUGUAAAGGGAGCGUAGACGGCGAAGAAAGUCUGAAGUGAAAGCCCGCGGCUCAACCGCGGAAUGGCUUUGGAAACUUUUUUGCUGGAGUACCGGAGAGG